rnacentral:ncRNA from 2 species
UUCAAUCGGGUAGGGUUUCGCUUUACGCGAAGUAACAGGGAAUCGUGUGCAAAUCACGAGCUGUCGCGCAACUGUAAGUAACGCAUAGACAUGCUUACACACAACCUCGGCUAUCCGCGUAUUGGUAGCCAUAGAGAACUCAAGAAAGCCUGCGAAAGUUACUGGUCUUCC